CUGGAACCCUCCAACCAGUGCCCUUACAAUGUUCCCUUCUGAAUAACAGGGAGUCACAAGAUAAAACCAGCCAGUAAGCAAACCUGCCCAUCCCUCAGCCUGGCUCUGCACUUCUGAAAGUUGCAUGACUACAAACACAAGGAGAGAAUGUAGUUACAAAUGAAGAUGUCAAAAAGAGCACCAGACUCUGAGCCUAGGGCCUUCUCAUGG
rnacentral:sRNA from 1 species